UACGUAGGGGGCUAGCGUUGUCCGGAUUUAUUGGGCGUAAAGAGCGUGUAGGCGGCCAGGUAGGUCUGCUGUGAAAACUCGAGGCUCAACCUCGAGACGUCGGCGGAAACCAUCUGGCUAGAGUCCGGAAGAGGAGAGUGGAAUUCCUGGUGUAGCGGUGAAAUGCGUAGAUAUCGAGAGGAACACCUGCGGCGAAGGCGGGUUGCUGGGCUGACACUGACGCUGAUGCGCGAAAGCCAGGGAGCGAACGGG
rnacentral:rRNA from 1 species